rnacentral:rRNA from 1 species
UACAGAGGGUGCGAACGUUGUUCGGAUUUACUGGGCGUAAAGCGCGUGUAGGCGGUCAUGCAAGUCGGGGGUGAAAGCCCGAGGCUCAACCUCGGAACUGCCUUCGAUACUGCGGGUCUCGAGUCCGGGAGAGGUGAGUGGAAUUCCUAGUGUAGAGGUGAAAUUCGUAGAUAUUAGGAAGAACACCAGUGGCGAAGGCGGCUCACUGGCUCGGUACUGACGCUGAGGCGCGAAAGCGUGGGGAGCAAACAGG